rnacentral:rRNA from 1 species
UACAGAGGGUGCGAGCGUUGUCCGGAAUCACUGGGCGUAAAGGGCGCGUAGGCGGCCGAUCAAGUCGGGGGUGAAAGCCUGUGGCUCAACCACAGAAUUGCCUUCGAUACUGUUUGGCUUGAGACCGGAAGGGGUAAGUGGAACUGCGAGUGUAGAGGUGAAAUUCGUAGAUAUUCGCAAGAACACCAGUGGCGAAGGCGGCUUACUGGUCCGGUUCUGACGCUGAGGCGCGAAAGCGUGGGGAGCAAACAGG